CGUGGUUAAUAAAUAGUUCAGUGGGAAUUGCUUUGUCAGUGAAACAUGUACGGUUUAAUCAACAUUUUAAGUAUUUGUACUGGAAGCAGAUUGUAAUACAUCACUGUGAUGGCUUCGACUACUGGGGGAAAGGCACCAUGGUCACCGUCACUUCAGCCACUCCACCUACACCAUCUGCACCAACGGUGUUUCCUCUGAUCCAAUGUGGCUCCGAGGCUGGAGCAAUGGUCACUCUUGGCUGCCUCGCCACCGGCUUCUCGCCCUCCUCACUGACCUACGCAUGGAACCAAAAUGGCGUUGCCUUGACGGACUUCAUUCAGUACCCUGCAGUACAGAAAAACAACCUCUAUACCGGAGUCAGUCAAAUCCGAGUGAGGAGACAGGACUGGGACGCCAGGGUGCCCUUCCAGUGUGUCGCAACCAAUACAGCGGGAACUGGCCAGUGUAUUGUCGAAGCACCACCACCGGAUAUUUGUCAGUUGCCAACUCUUAAAGUGUUGGCCUCCCCUGGUGAUGAAGCCGAGGCUUCCUUCUCCUGCUUUGCCAAAGAUUUUUCACCAAAAGAUUAUGAGUUCAAAUGGCUGAAAAAUGAAGUGGAAAUCACCACCAAAAUAAACGAGUUCACAACACCUUAUAAGGAAAGAGAGGACGAGAAUGGAACCAAACUGUACAGCGCGGCCAGUUUUCUCACGUUGAAGUCUAGUGAGUGGACUGACGACACGAAGAUUACAUGCAAGUUCAAUGGGAAAUGUGACAAAGCUACACCAUCCAAGAAUUCAUCUGUGAUAUAUGAGGGCCCAACUGUUUGUCCGCCAUCUGUGGGAUGUCGUGACGCAGAUAUUACGAUCAUUGAACCCAAAAUGGAGGACAUGUUUUUGAAGAGAAAAGGAACUGUAAUAUGUCGAGUCAACAUAAAUAACCCAUCUGUCGAAGAGAUUUUUUGGGAAAACAAGAAAGGAGAUGCAGUGGCUGAUUCCUUAAUAUCCCCACCUAAAGGACGUACAGGCAUAGUAGACUGUCCACUCGAGAUCUCGUACGACGAAUGGAGCCGAGGGGAAAAGUAUGUCUGCAUUGUUGUACAUACCGAAUUCUUGGAAAGACUGAAGAAACCCUACGAGAGGACUAUUGGAGGUCAGACUCAGCGUCCUUCCGUGUUUAUGCUACCUCCAGUAGAACAUACUAGACAAGAAAGGGUGUCCCUGUCUUGCUAUGUGAAAGACUUCUUCCCUCAGGAGGUUUUUGUGUCUUGGCUUGUUGAUGAUGAGGAAGCGGACUCACAGUACGAGUUCCAUACCACAAACCCCGUAGAAAGCCAAGGAUCCUAUUCGGCUUACGGCCAGUUAUCUCUCACCCUCGAGCAGUGGAAAAACAAGGACAUGGUGUAUAGCUGUGUAGUUCACCACGAGUCUGUGGCUAACUCAACUAAAGCUAUCGUCAGGUCCAUCGGCCAAAGAACGUUUGACAGAACCAACCUGGUCAACCUCAACAUGAACAUCCCUGAAACGUGCAGGCCCCAGUAGACGUCACUGUGUGUGUCGCUGUGUCUUCUGCUGUUUGUUGUUGUUGAAUGUUUGUUUGCUUGUGAUAUGACAUUGUGUUUGUCUUUUUAAUGCAGAUUCAAAAUCAAAAAUAAAAAAAAAGCUACUUUGCAACUCUGUU